UUGAUCUGGUACUUCCUGUAUAUAGGUCCACAUUGAUCGGGUACUUCCUGUAUAUAGCUCCACAUUGAUCUGGUACUUCCUGUAUAUAGGUCCACAUUUAUCUGGUACUUCCUGUAUAUAGGUCCACAUUGAUCUGCUACUUCCUGUAUAUAGGUCCACAUUGAUAUGGUGCUUCCUGUAUAUAGGUCCACAUUGAUCUGGUACUUCCUGUAUAUAGCUUCACAUUGAUCUGGUACUUCCUGUAUAUACCGCCACAUUGAUCUGGUACUUCCUGUAUAUAGCGUCACAUUGAUCUGGUACUUCCUG
rnacentral:lncRNA from 1 species